GUCACUUUUAGUUUGUAUUUUUUUCUAAGGAGGCAAGAAUGUGUGUUGAAGACUUUCCAGGGAGGGAGACAGGAAAAUAGUGAAAGGUCAAACCAAAUCCUGAAUCUUCGGUUGAAAAGGAGACUGGAUCUCCUCCUUUUCCCUUUAUUUAUAUGCGUGCACUAGGGAUCCUAACCUUAUCCUAGUAAGAAGGUUCCGAGGAAUUGGGUCUCUUCUUUUUUCAGGAUCAUCAUGCGUCUUCCAAGAGGAAAAUGGACUCUCACUUUGGAAACCAUAAAACCGUGUUUGUUUUAUGUCCCUUAGCAAACAGCUCCCUGCGCCGGGCGGAGACAGGCUGGGCGCCGGGAGCCGGAGCCCAGGGCGGCAGCGCGUUGUGUAACCCGCCUGGGAAUCACGUUGCACGGGCGAGAUCCGCAGGCUUUCAGUGCGAUAAUAAGCUUGAUCUUUUUAUUCAAAUACAAGGAACAACCACAGCCGGCUCCAAGUCACGUGGCCGGGUCACAUGGUGCCGAGACACAGAAACCGGCUGGCAGUCAUUAACUAAUGCUUACUCCCAGGGAGAAAACGCAGGUUUUAAAGACACGAGCUCUGUUUUUGUAAACCACGCAGCACUGCAAGAGAAGAUUACAGAGUCACCGAGGGCUGGGACCCCUUCUUGGAUGUCUUUGAAUCUCUGCAUACCAGUCAGCAAAGUGCCGGCAAGAGGAAUCUAAUGAACGUGGGACAUGAAAGAGACUGGGCUGACCAAGACAGACAGGAAGCUCGGAUAAUUAUUUGAAAUGUCUAAAGUCAUCAGAAGGCUGGGAAAACGUAAUGCCAAUCCUUCCUGCAAAAGAAAUGUGCACAGCAGAAAACAAAACCCAGAGCAGAAAGCAGAGAGCAAGGGCAAGUUGGGACAGGAAAUGGAGAAGAAAUUGGGAAAGGUCGCGCAGAAUGAGGUCAAGUUCCGGCGGACGGAGGAGCAAAGCACGCAUGAUGUGUGAGCGCUAAUUAACGUGGUUAAAGAGAACAGCGUGGAACAGUAAAUGCCCGCAGAGCAAGGAGCCCAGCGGCAAGGCGGACCCAACGUGAAAAAGAAAAGCAAUCCUCGCGCCACACAACUCCUUUUAUAAAGCAGCAAAUCCCCGUAAAUCUGUUCGCCUCCCGUUGUGGCUGUAUAGGUGAGGAGUAGGAUGGCCGAGUGGUGGACCUCCCAGCAUGUAUUACCCCUAGAAGGAGCUCCUGGCGCCCGCUUAGGCCGCAGCCUCUUCUGACAUCCUCUUCCUCCGCGCGUGGCUGUAGAUGCUCAUCCGGGAGCAGGAAAUGAUUGCAUGCUUGGGCUUUUCUGCCGUUCGUCUUCUAAAGAGAGAAACGAAACAAAGCAAAAAAAGAAAGCUGGAUGUUUAGAGAUAGUCUAAAACCUUUUAAAGGCGUGCCGUUCACCGAAGCAAGGAAAGGAAGGUGGAGGCCGGCCUUUCAGAUUCCCUGGAGCGGGGAUAUGGAAGAAUUCAUCGCGGGCUAGUUUCUGUGUAUUCUGCACUUCAAAGUGACUUUACAGGUUUAUUUGGGGAUUCCACUCCAGCAGAGAAAGGAACACCUUGCCAACUCUCGACUGUACGAUCCAUUUUUUGAAGAGAGAACACCACUCUGGGAGCGCUUAAGAGAGCAGGCACGGGGGCCAAGGCCACGCACAAUCACUCACUGUCCAGAUCAAAUCGUGGCCUUUCCUCCCCCCCCCCCCCCCCCGGAGAAUUAGCUGUUAAACAUUUACCAGCAUGCCGCCGUGUACAAACAAGAUCCAAGAGGAACCAGUUGACCGGCUAGAGUGAACAAAGAGUUUAGCCCAAAACUGAGGGCAAGUAAGCAGAUAAGGUUAAUUGUAUUACGGAUCCCUUCAUGAAUGACCGCCUGAUGGGAAUGCUGCCUUAACAUGACUCAGCAAUUCGUGCCA